rnacentral:tRNA from 1 species
GACCGCUUGGCGCAAUGGUAGAGGGUUCGACCCCAGAUCGAAUGGUUGGGCGUUCGAUCCGCCCAGUGGUCA